rnacentral:rRNA from 1 species
GGUUACUGCUAUCGGCGUUCGCCUAAGCCAUGCGAGUCAUAUGUUCGUAAGAACAUGGCGUACUGCUCAGUAACACGUGGAUAACCUGCCCUUGGGUCCGGCAUAACCCCGGGAAACUGGGGAUAAUUCCGGAUAACGCACAUAUGCUGGAAUGCUUUUUGCGUAAAAUGGAUUCGUCUGCCCAAGGAUGGGUCUGCGGCCUAUCAGGUAGUAGUGGGUGUAAUGUACCUACUAGCCUACGACGGGUACGGGUUGUGAGAGCAAGAGCCCGGAGAUGGAUUCUGAGACAUGAAUCCAGGCCCUACGGGGCGCAGCAGGCGCGAAAACUUUACAAUGCGGGAAACCGUGAUAAGGGGACACCGAGUGCCAGCAUCCUAUGCUGGCUGUCCGGGUGUGUAAAAUACACCUGUUAGCAAGGGCCGGGCAAGACCGGUGCCAGCCGCCGCGGUAACACCGGCGGCCCGAGUGGUGAUCGUGAUUAUUGGGUCUAAAGGGUCCGUAGCCGGUUUGGUCAGUCCUCCGGGAAAUCUGACAGCUCAACUGUUAGGCUAUCGGAGGAUACUGCCAGACUUGGAACCGGGAGAGGUAAGAGGUACUACAGGGGUAGGAGUGAAAUCUUGUAAUCCCUGUGGGACCACCUGUGGCGAAGGCGUCUUACCAGAACGGGUUCGACGGUGAGGGACGAAAGCUGGGGGCACGAACCGGAUUAGAUACCCGGGUAGUCCCAGCCGUAAACGAUGCUCGCUAGGUGUCAGGCAUGGCGCGACCGUGUCUGGUGCCGCAGGGAAGCCGUGAAGCGAGCCACCUGGGAAGUACGGCCGCAAGGCUGAAACUUAA